CUGGAAUAGAAGAAAACACUUGGGCAUGGAUUUUGGUCAAGGCACGAGAGAGAGCAGUUACAUAAUUUACCAUAGCAUCUGACUGUAUCUGAAGCUGCUGAGGAAAAUAGCAACCUAAUCUGGGUGCAGUGCCAAACAGAAUCUCAUAGGGAGAUAAAUUGCAUUUUCCCCUAGGGAUGUACCUUACACUGAAUAGUGCUAGUGGUAGACUCUCGGGCCAGGGCAUGUUAGUUUCCUGAAACAUCUUGAGCAUUCUGGCCUUUAAUGUGCCAUUCAUGCGUUCUACCUUACCACUACUCUGUGGAUG